rnacentral:lncRNA from 1 species
AAUGCGUGAAUGCUUUAAAAGUUGCAAUCAGCGUCCCUGGAUGGGCUCGAACCACCAACCUUUCGGUUAACAGCCGAACGCGCUAACCCAUUGCGCCACAGAGACAAGCACUACCAGUUCUAAUAGGCAAUAUAGGAAGGGCACACUCACUAAACUUCCUCCGUCCCUUCUAUUCUCAGCGCCCGCCUGGCAGGACGACUGAGCAAGGCUUUGGAAAACCAGAGAGAUUAGAGCGAAUGGGGAAAUGGAGAGAGAACCUGAAAGAGCCCCAAACUCGAGGACCUAUUGCUCCCCAAGAAUAACAUCUUCCAGAACUAGACAGAAACUAAGCGUCUGGAAACCCUGAAAUCCUUGGAGGAGUAGCAUCAUCCUGACCCUCUGUGCUCCUUUUGGCAAAGGACUUGCUUCCAUUGUUUGUUUGUUCAAUUGUCUGUUUGUUAAAUAAAUAAAAC